GGCCAUCGCCUCCAUCUCCGAUCCGGGGCGGCUCUUAGAUCCAUGAUCUGUGUGGACUUUAUAACCGGUGACCGCGACGACGCUGGUUGGUUCCCCGGGAUCCCGUCACCCAAUGGGGGUGAGACCCGCCCGGUUGUCAUCAGUGUCCGGGCAGAAGGACCUGACCCGGGUUAGGAGCUGGAGAAGUGAAACUGGGGACCGGGGAAUCCCCAGCCCUGGGCUUCCCCACCCAGACCUCACCCGCCUGGGACUAAGACUUUGCCUGAGCCCUGCGCUGCGGGGUGGAGCGCUGUGUGUCAUGGUGUCUGAGCCGCCUAAGGCCAACUGCUCCUCAGGUUAGUGAGGGUGAAACCUGAGAGCGUGAAGAUUCCAGGUAAAAUACACCCAGCACCUAAAAUGGAUGUUCACGGAAACAGGUGCUGUCGGAGUCCUGGAGGAUGCGGGGCUGCUGUGGACACCUGCAUCGGAGGUGACUGGAGAUUUUACAGCUCUGAUUAAGCACUUGUGACACACUGUGUCCUGUGUGACUCCCCCUGCAGGAAGCAGGCCCUGCUCGCCUCUGAUUUCACUUUCUACUCCAGUUAUGUGUGGCUGGAAUUUGAAGACAUCAAGUAAAAAAUCCAGAGAAACAAAAAAUUAAUAAAUUUAAUUUUUCUCCACACUACUGAACCAUAUGCAACCCAGAAUCCCCAGUGUGUACUGUGCCGUGAGAAUCUGUCCACACUGUACAUGACUGAGGAACUCAGAAGCCAUCUGUUAUCAAGUCCAGUGUCCCACAAGCCUGUGACAAUCAUCUCCCUCAUCUCAUCGGCUCAUAAAGUGAGAGCGAAGGGGUCUCUUCCCAUGGAGAAGGGGUUCACUGUGCUGAGACAAUGACCCAGGUCCACACGGACAAUCUCAGGACUAUGGAAUGAAGAUCUGUGCAAAACACAAGCACCUGGAGCCACAGAUGAUCAUCUGGGAAGAAACACUAGGAGUCUGAGUGUAAGCACAGGCUGUGAAGACAGGAUCCUGAGUGAAGAGGCAAAGUCUCUGUUUACAGCUGCCAGUACCAUGGGAGAUCACCAGGAACAGCAGCAGUGGAGCCGAAGGAGCCCAGAAGAGGAGCUGUGUGAGCUGCAGAGGGCAGAGCUGGAGAAGGGACCACAGCCCUUCGCAGGGUCCAGAAGGUCGCGAGUGAGUCCCAGACAUUCGACAGUGAGUUUUAUACUGUUGAGUUUGGCUUUGCUUGGAUUAGAUUGGGACAGUGCCCAGCUUCUUCCCUCUUGAAGAAGGUAUUAAUCUCUCUCUCUCUCUCUCUCUCUCUCUCUCUCUCUCUCUCUCUCUCUCUCUC